rnacentral:rRNA from 1 species
UACGUAGGGGGCAAGCGUUGUCCGGAUUUAUUGGGCGUAAAGAGCGUGUAGGCGGCCACACAGGUCAGCUGUGAAAACUCGAGGCUCAACCUCGAGACGUCGGUUGAAACCGUAUGGCUAGAGUCCGGAAGAGGAGAGUGGAAUUCCCGGUGUAGCGGUGAAAUGCGCAGAUAUCGGGAAGAACACCCGUGGCGAAGGCGGCUCUCUGGGACGGUACUGACGCUGAGACGCGAAAGCGUGAGGAGCGAACAGG